CCAGUCGGCCGGGCAGCCGCGCGCCGCAUUUCACCGAAAGGUGGCGGUUCGAGGAAAGUCCGGGCUCCAUGGAACAACGGUGCCGGAUAACGUCCGGCGGGGGCGACCCCAGGGAAAGUGCCACAGAAAGCAAACCGCCCCGCCACCUGAACGCCCGUGAAUGGGCGUUGAGGCGGCGGGGUAAGGGUGAAAGGGUGGGGUAAGAGCCCACCGCGUCUCCGGUAACGGCGACGGCACGGUAAACCCCACCGGGAGCAAAACCGAAUAGGGAUGACGCGGCGCAAGCCGGCCUGUUCCAGGCCAGUCAUCCGGGUAGGUUGCUUGAGGUGCGCCGCGAGGCGUGGCCCAGAGGAAUGGCUGCCACGUUUCCGUCUUCGGGCGGAAGCCAUACAGAACCCGGCUUACAGGCCGGCUGGCACU
rnacentral:RNase_P_RNA from 1 species